rnacentral:misc_RNA from 1 species
UCAGCACAGUGAGGGAGCUAAGCUGCCGCGAUACAGGACAAGGUCCCCUCUCUAGCCCCCAUCAAGAAAACAAAGGAAGGAAAGCAAGACACUCCACGAGAGAGGCAGCAGGAUUAUCGCCUCCCCGCUCAGACUCCAGCGCAGCACAGACGAAGGAAACCGCAAGCGCAGGUGUGUGCGGGCUUUCGCGUGCCUUUUUUAUAUUUUCGUUGACCGUCGCUCAUCUUUUAGGCUCUUAAGAGCUGCCUCUCGCAGCUUCGCUGACGCUUCUACACUCACCCAUUUGAGUAGUGCAUACACGUGCACUGGCGUCGAUGAGCGCGCCUCCGAUUCCACCGGGCAAGAUGCCCCCGCGACCGCCGGGGAUGAAAGCGAUGCCGCCCAUGCCCCCCGGAUUCAAGGCACCGGGCCAUGGUGGGGCAGCGCCGCCCAUGCCGCCGGGUCGUGCGCCGCCGCAACCACCCGGCAUGCGCAGUGGUGGGCCGCCGCCGAUGCCGCCUGGCAUGGUGAAGCACGCACCGCCGCAACCCCCCGGGGGAGCGCCAGCAGCUGCUGGUGGCGGGUCGUACCCUCGCUAUCCUAUGCCACCCGGUCACAGCGGCGGUGGCGCCCCUCUGCCGCCGCUGGGAGGCGGUCCGCCGGCGCUGCCGCAGCAGCCCGCGCACAGUGGUGCUCCACCGUCGAGCGCGCCGCGCUAUCUGAUGCCGCCGUCCGCUAUCAGUGCAGAGGUUCCGACCAUCUCUCCCUACGCCGCAUCUGGUGCCCCUGCGCCUCCGUCGCAGUCGUCGCACCCUCAGCAGUACCCCCCACAGGACCCAUACGGCGGCGAUCGGGGCGGCAUGCACCCCCCGGGUCGGUACGACGACGACCAUGACGGCGGCAGCCGCAACCGGCGCCAGGGCAGGGGGGAACGCGGUCACCGCGGCGGCGGUGGGCGCGAGCGUGGCGGCGACCGUCAUGACCGUGGCGAGCGCCCCGAGCGGAGCAGUCGCCGUGGCGGCGGCCGUCACCGAGACGAGGCUCAUCGCAACCCGCCGAUGCGCGACCCGACGAACACCGUCUGGGUCGGCAGCUACGACCCGGCCUUCCACUCCCGCAGCAUGCUGUGCCGCGCAUUCUGGCCUUUCGGCCGCGUCAUGGAGAUCUCGAUCCACGAUGGCAAGUCGUACGCCUUUGUGCACCUGCGGCGCACCGAGGAGGCCAAGGCCGCCGUCGACGCUCUCAUCGAGAGCCGUGAGUUGGGUGCCGCGAUCUUCAACUACAGCAAGAUGCACGAAUACACAGAGGAGGAGAUGAACCUACCGCAUGAUCCCAAUCUUGUGGAGGAGCCGCCUGUCACGGACCCCGCGCCGGCACCAGCGCCGGGCGCCCGCCGUCAGCGCGAAUACGACGGCAGCCGCGACCCACGUGACGAGCGUGGCGCGCGCGAGGCGGAGCACGGUCGAGAUGCCCCGUUGCCCCCGCCGCGCCGCGCGCGGCACGAGCGGGAGGCCAAGGAGCCGUCCAACGUGUUGUGGGUCGGCAACCUAGUCCCGUACAUAACGAAUGAGAAGCUGACUGAGGUGUUCGAGGUGUUCGGCCCCAUUUCGAGCGUCUCUCGUCUUGGCCGCUCCAACAUGGCCUUCCUGCACUAUGAGACGGUCGAACAGUGCACGAUGGCCAUUGAGACGAUGAAGGGCAGGCCGAUUGAGGGGGUCAUGCUAAGCUUGAACUACGGCCACGACGCCCAGCACGCGAGCGAUGCAGCAGGUGGAAGCAGCGCCGGCGCAGAGGGACCGGCAGGGAUGACCGGCCACAGCUACGGCAACGUCGCCCUCACCGCCGACGGCAUCCCUGUCAACGAAACGCCAACGAACAUCAUCUACCUCGGCCAUCUCCCCGCCGAUGCGGAUGCCAAGGACGUGGAAGAUCUGUUCGCACCUUACGACGGCUUCAUCUUCAGCAAGUUCGUUGCCAGCAACGGGAUCGGCUUUGGCCACUUCGACACUAUCGAGUCGUCCCGGGUGGCGCGCGCAGGGCUGUCCAACGCCAUGAUCAAGGGGACACCGAUCCGUGUGAGCUUUGGCAAGCACAACCACACAUACACCAUGGCUGAUCGGCGCCGCAUCGGCGAGCCAGCCCUGGACAAUGGGGGUGGCGAGUUCAACUUGGAUGCCAUGAUGCGCGGCCCCGGCGCGCAGUUGGACGGCACUACCGGCGCUCUUGUGGCUGGCGGCUACGGCGGCGGGGCGGGUGCCGGUGGGGCGUUGGUGCUACCAGCGAUGGGCGGCGGCGCUGCUGGUGGCGGCAUUGGCGGUGCGGACACCAACGUGUACGCCCGCAAGCGCGAGGCGCCAGAGAUGAACAUGGACAACCGCCUUCAGUCACUAUUGGGCAGCACGUAUAACAACUGCGGUGCCAGAGGCCUCGAGAUCAGCCCGAGCCAGAUCCAGGCAGUGUGCCAGCUCGUCGACAACUGCGCCAGCGAGUCUGCGUGCGAGACGCUCCGGCAAGCGCUCAUGCUCUACUCCCCGCUGCGUUCCGUCCACGUCUUCAACGUGGUGGCGAAGCGCAUGAAGGAGUUCCCUGAUGACCCACACAAGCGCCUCUUUGUGUUGUACGCCGUGACGCACGUGCUGCUCGGCGUGUCCACCGAAUAUGUGCCCUUCACGGAGGCAGUGCUCAACGCCUAUCUAAUGGUGCUGCUGGUGGCGAGUGAGGGACAGACAAGCAGCGGGAUGGAUCGCCUGACAUUCAUCAUAGAAAGCUUUCAGCAGCACCCGUUCAUCGAGAAGAAGUCCAACGCCGGCAAGGAGUACGAGGAGCAGUUUCGGGCACAGCUGGACGAGAUCACCAACCGCGCGAAGGCCGAGCAGGAUCUGCGCUUGCUGGCGACACGCCGCCGCCGCCGCAACUGAUCAAGGUGGGGCACCGGUCCCCCUCCUAAUCCCGCUUGUCCCAUCCGUGGUUGGCGGCUCACUCCUUCUCCGCGUCCUGUCCGUGCCUUUUCUAUCUCUGUGUGUAAGUGCGCAUGUUGGCGUGCGCGAGCCUAAGCGGCGUUUCGGUUGUUUCCUUUGGCUGUGUGUUUCAGGCCCCCUCUCCCACCCCGGGCAUCCGCCACCGUCUCACUCUCCCCCUUUCGUUCUCUGCGUCUGUGCCGGCGUGCUUGCGUUGCUGUCGUCGACAGAGUUGGCCAUCCCUCCCCCUCCCAUAAUGAUUUGAAGACGGACGUAACCGAGAGCCACGUGACAUGCUUUGUGUGGCGGUAAUGCUCGUGUGGCGCACCGUGCAUGUGCGUUUUGUGUGUGUGCGUAUGUGAGAGGUUCCUUUUGUGGUGUGCUGCGCUCUUUUUCCGGCCGGCCGCCCCGCCCUCCCUCUCCUCCAUUUGACGGCUUCUUUGAGCUCGCUCCUCUUCUUACCCUCUUCAUGUGCACACACACGCACACAUGCACACACGCACGCACGAAGUUAGAUGAGCAACGACAGCCGGUAAAACGACAUAAAAAGAAAUGUUCGCCAACGAAAAAAAAAGAGAGCGCGAGACAUGCGAAUCGGGGUGCAGCUGUUCGAGCGAAGGACCUUUGUUGUACCCGUGAACGCAAAUGAAGACAUCCAGCAUGUCUCCUCCCUUUCUCCCUACUUUCCCUCUUACCGCUGUCUACUCUUGCCCGCCUUAACGCUCUGCCGCGAAACUGCCGCCCAAGUACUCACCAAAUGUACCACAUCACCACCUCCUUGCUCUUCCCUCCUCUCCUCUCUCUCGGUGCCAUUCAACAG